rnacentral:rRNA from 1 species
CCUACGGGAGGCUGCAGUGAGGAAUAUUGGUCAAUGGUCGGGAGACUGAACCAGCCAAGCCGCGUGAGGGAGGAAGGUACAGAGUAUCGUAACCUCUUUUGUCAGGGAACAAAGACUGGGACGCGUCCCCGGAUGAGUGUACCUGAAGAAAAAUCAUCGGCUAACUCCGUGCCAGCAGCCGCGGUAAUACGGGGGAUGCGAGCGUUAUCCGGAUUUAUGGGGGUAAAAGGGUGCGAAGGGGGUCUGUAAAGUCAGCGGUCAAAGCCCGGGGCCAAACCCCGGCCCGCCGUUGAAACUGGCAGUCUCGAGUGGGAGAGAGGUAUGCGGAAUGCGCGGUGUAGCGGUGAAAUGCAUAGAUAUCGCGCAGAACUCCGAUUGCGAAGGCAGCAUGCCGGCUCCACACUGACGCUGAGGCACGAAAGCGUGGGUAUCGAACAGGAUUAGAUACCCUAGUAGUC